UACGGAGGGUGCAAGCGUUAUUCGGAUUUACUGGGCUUAAAGGGUGCGUAGGCGGGUCUGUAAGUCAGUGGUGAAAUCUCCGGGCUUAACCCGGAAACUGCCAUUGAUACUAUAGGUCUUGAAUAUCCUGGAGGUGAGCGGAAUAUGUCAUGUAGCGGUGAAAUGCUUAGAUAUGACAUAGAACACCAAUUGCGAAGGCAGCUCACUGCGGGAUUAUUGACACUGAGGCACGAAAGCGUGGGGAGCAAACAGG
rnacentral:rRNA from 1 species